rnacentral:lncRNA from 1 species
UCCACUCAUCUUAGUAUCCAGGAUUGAGGCUCCAUAGGGUUUUAGUAUUUUCAAUGCAGUGCGCUGUUCCCUCUCCUCCUGAGAGGUGGUGCUCUAGAGCGCGCAUGGAGCCGGGCCGGGAGGCGGGACUUCCUGUCUCCCUGGGAACACUUCCGCCCAGACCCGGAAGACCGUUCAUUCCUCUGUGUGGCGGGUCCCGGCGUGAGCGCGGUAGCUGGAGCGACGCUUUCGGGUUCUCUCGCGGCGGGAGGGUCUGGCGAGCGUCGCGCGGCGCCCCGUUUCCCGGGCACCCCGCCCCAGCUGAGCCACGAUGGACUUCCCCGGCUGCCUCCGCCCCACCUCGUUUACCACCGGCCCCCUGGGGCUGAGCGACGGCCCCGACCUGUCGUUCAUGUGCAGCUGGAGAGACGCGCUGACCCUGCCGGAGCCCCAGCCCCAGGACGCCAAGGUGAGGAGGGGCAGGAGACAGCCGGGACUCUGGCCGGGUCCUCGGAGUCCCGAGCUGGCUGGUGGGGCUGAGCCCUCGGGGGCUCAUCGGUCAGGAGAGACGGUGUAGCAGGGCAGGCUCAGGGUGGCCCCCCGCGAGGGCCCCUCCCCCUACCGAGUGUUUGUGCUGAGCUGUCUCGGGCUGGCGGGCGGCGGAGGGUCCUCUGGGGCUCCCGGAGCAGGUGACGAGGUCUCCUGAGCGGAGGGCAGAGGAAGCGGGACUCGGAGCGGCCUGUGCGGAAGGGGGCUUCCCUGCUGGGUCAGGGUCACAGGCGCGCAGUCUAGAGCCGGCUGUUGGCUUCCACGUCCCCGCUCCUCGCCGCGCUGACAGCUGGGCUCCCUGUGGCUCCGUCUCUUCAGU